GACGAACGCUGGCGGCGUGCUUAACACAUGCAAGUCGAACGGAAAGGCCUGCUUUCCCUUGUGGAUUGCGGGUACUCGAGUGGCGAACGGGUGAGUAACACGUGAGUGAUCUGCCCCCAACUUGGGUAUAAGCCUGGGAAACUGGGUCUAAUUCCCGAUAGGACUGCAGGGUGGUGCCUGUGGUGGAAAACGAUUUUCUAGUGGUUGGGGAUGAGCUCGCGGCCUAUCAGCUUGUUGGGGGGGUAAAGGCCUACCAAGGCGGCGACGGGUAGCCGGCCUGGGAGGGUGGACGGCCACAUUGGGACUGAGAUACGGCCCAGACUCCUACGGGAGGCAGCAGUGGGGAAUAGUGCACAAUGGGCGGAAGCCUGAUGCAGCGACGCCGCGUGGGGGAUGACGGCCUUCGGGUUGUAAACUCCUUUCGACCGCGAGGAAGCCACCUGGUUGGAAGGGUGGUGACGGUAGUGGUAGAAGAAGCACCGGCUAACUACGUG
rnacentral:rRNA from 1 species